UCAGGAUCAGGACUGUGUGUGGUUGUCAGCCCUUGCUUUUGCUGCUUUGUGCAAUUUGUGCAAUACAACUAGAUCCUUGUGGCAGAUACCACAGAAGCCUU